GCAAGUUACCUAGUUUCUCUGUAUCUUAGUUUGUCUGGUCUACAAAAUAAUAAUUAUUAUGAUUAUUGUCAUAACACCUAAGAGCUGCCCUAAAUUUUAGCUGCCUUAAACCCAAACCUUAUCAUAAUUAUAAUUAUUCAAGUAUAGACUCCUUGAGAACAAGAACCAUAUCAUAUAUUCCUAUUUUAAUUUCAUCACCUGAAAUAGUAGUAGUUAUAUUUAAAAACUCAAAUAAGUAUUUUAAAGUUAAACACAAUUUAUAUAAGGAAAGAGAAGUAAACAGCACUGUGAAACCAUUAACAGCAUUCUGUGAUCCCAGAGGUAGAGUGGUAAGAAGAGGAAAGAGUAUGAAUGGAUGGACCAAGAUCAUAAAUACUUUUGACAUUGUUGUGCACUUUUCUUCCCAUGAGCUGUUUUCAGAAAAGGACUAAACUUCCAUUUGAAGUCUGCAGUCUGACACCUGGUUGUCCUACGAUGACGCUUCCUCUGAGUCAGAUGGGCCCCUCCUACUUGGGCAAGGAAGAUGUUAAGGAUUAAAACUGGCUGGGACCAAUGUCUUCGUUGCUGCUUCUCAGUCUCCAGUGACCUCAGACUAUAUUUUUAACCCUACGCAGGACCAGCUGAACAUGAACAGAAAGAUUGUGGGGAAAAAAGAGGGACAAGAGCAGAAGCAGGAAGAUGGAAAGCUCCAUAAAAGAGGUUUAGUGGACAAGGUGACAGAAGUAGUGAUGUAAGUCAUCAAAUUCUUACUACAUUUGAAGGAAGACCUCGCAGGAAUGCUGACUGAUGAAAUGCAGAGUAUGAAAGAAGGAAAGUCAAAGAUAUCUUAGAAGUUUUAGACUGAACAACCAGAAAAGCAGAGCUCCCAUUUACUGACAUAGGACGUCUAUUAACAUAAUGGAUUUAAAGAGAAUAAGAGAAACUCCUGUUUGGACAUUUGUUAGAUAUCUAAGUGCACAGAGUAAGUCACAUAUUUAAGUGUAGACAUUUAAAUGUAUAUAAAGGGAUAGAAGUAUGAGAUUCGGGGAGCCAAGUCAUCAACAUACGGCUGGCAUUUUAAGCCAAAAGAUGAGAUGAAAUCAAUAAGGAAAAAAUACAGACAAGAAAGAGAAGUCUAAGACCUGGGCCCUGGGGCACCUCAAAGUCCAGAAAUGGAGGAGAUAAGAAGGAACGAGCAGAGGAAAGUGAGAACAUGUGGCCAGUGAGGAAAGAACACAUGGAGCACGUGAGGGCCUGAAGGUCAGGAAGAAAGAAUGUGUGAGAAUGAGACUGUAGCCAGCAUGUCAAAAGCCACUGGUAGGUCAAGAGGAAGACAGAAAACUGCCUACUGGAUGUCACAGUAUAAAGAAAUAUGAAGAACGUGAGCUGAGAGGACAGAGGAGGUGCUGAAGUUUACGGAGGAAAGAACAUGCUUUCUAGGCAGCAUUAAUGUCCUGUUGAAGUUUGUUAUCAUGAAUUUAAAGUGAGGCCAGCCCAGGUGGCUCAGCGGUUUAGCGCCACCUUCAGCCCAGGGCGUGAUCCUGCAGACC